GUGGAUGUUGUGUAACGGUAGCAUAACAGCUUGUGGCGCUGUUGGAGUGGGUUCGACUCCCACCUUCCACU
rnacentral:tRNA from 1 species